AUUUCAUGACCAGCAUAUUUAUUUACUUAAAUGUUUUCUUUUAUUUCUAAUUUUUGUUGUUGUUUGAAGUGUUUAUAUUUGUAAAUAAGAUUUGUGUUCUGAUGUGUUUAAAAUGGUAAUAUUUCCACAUCAUUCAAGAUAUUACUCAGAAAAAAAGUAUAUGAACAUUCAAGUAGUUAUCUGAAAGAGAAGCAGUUUGUUGGUUAAACUAAAAAUACUGCUAAAGGUUUUUUGUUUUUAGUAAGUUUUAGUCUCUGACAUGAGCUGUGGUGUGAUCCACCGUUCUGAUCCUCUGAGAAAAACCUCCAUUUGGGUAAAUGUGGUCCUCAGCCUUUGUGCUUCUCAUUCCUCUUGCUCUUCCUCCAGUCUUUACUCUGUUAGAUUUGUAUGCAUGAAGUCUUUUUACGAAGGAGCUAAAGGCUUCUUUCUCCUCUUUUUGUUUUACACAGAUGGCAUCUGGGAUUUGGCUUCAUUCCCGCCACAUUUUGAACUGGGCUGUUGAAGGUUGAGGAUCAUCUGCAGCUUUCUGCAUGAGCCAGGCCUUCCUGCAGGUGUUUCUAAUGAGCUCAUCGGUUCACCUGGAUAAAAGCUUCUUCUGUCUGCUGCUGGAGCUCAUCUUUUGCUCUGAGGUAAACAUGGUUCUAAAGCUUGCUUUAAGGCUUUCUUGGAUUGUUCAGCUGCUUGGAUGCUGUGCUGCUUCUCCUUAUCACCGGUAUGAUCCAAUGAUUGUUGCAACAAAAAACCUUCUUUUAAAAGGUCCAGAACUCCAGCAGCACAGGUAUGAGCCUCAAGGGUUCAUCUUGACCUAUGACCCUGAUGCUCAUUCCAAAGUACCAGAUGUGGACUUCCCCUGGACCUGGAGUUACUCCCACUAUGUGGAGAAUAAAACUAGCUUUGCAGCACGGCCUGAUCAAGCACUCAGCCCUGACAGUGUGGAGGAGGGUCCAACCAACCUCUGGCCUGACUCCCCCGGAGGAGUUCUGAACGUUGGUGCCCCAGAACUGGUGUCGCAGAGGAACUUUCCCUCCUCAGUAGGAACCUGAUGGAGGCCCGGCAGAUGCCCCUCUUUCAGGCCUGGAACAAUGGAGAGGUGCCUGUGGACUUGACACCCCCCCCUGUUCACCCCUUAUCUCACCUGUUCCAGUUUGGGAGCGCCUUUCAACGGGCAAAGGACUUUAUUUCUGAUUUGAAAUAUUCCCAGGACACUUUUCCAGAUGCUCCUGAGGUCCCCCCCCUGUGCAACGGGGGGGUGUUCUUUGGGCAGUGUAAACCAGUGACCCAGUGAGGAAACCAAGCUGUCAGUUACUCUGUGCACCUACUGCAUUUCAUAUGAACCUUAGUAUAUGCCUGAGAGCCAACGAUGCCCUCUAGAGGAUAGUGACGGCAUGGCAAGCUGGACAGACUGGACGGAGCCUUCAUCCAUUUGGGGGACCAUCUACAUGGGGACGUUUUCAGCUCUGCUGUGGGAAACCUCAUGAUGUUCAAACUGACACCUGUAGUAAUCCUUGACUAAAGUUUCUUAAAGGAUGUCGUGUUUGUUGUCUUCAUUUCCUCCAUCCCAAAUGAAAGUCAAUGAACAUGAAGCAAACUCGCCACAUCGGCUUCCACUGAACCACAGGUUCAGUAUGGAUCUUCUUAGGCUGCAUUCUCCGGACACAACCCUGUAUUUCAUUUGGGCUGGGGACGAGGAGACCCGGACACGGGUCACCUUGUGGCUAAAUGGGCAGUUUGAAGGAUCUUGCCCAAGGGCUCUCACUGGAUGAAGCUCAUGGGGAAAUGGACCCCUGUUUUUCCCACAUGCCAGUCCUGCUCACAAGCAACUGAGCAGUCCAGCCGCCUUCAUUGGCGCACAUCUAUACAAAGCUCAUUGCAGGUCAAAAUGUAGUUAGAAAUAACUGUUUAUAAACUUAAAAUGUUUCUGCUACACUAAAUACUUUUACCAAAAAGUAAAUCAAUUCACUAAAAUCUUAGUUUUACUUUGGCAUAAAUUUCUGUAAAUGAAGCUUCAGCUGAAAACACCUUGAGUCCUGAAUUGCAGAUUUUUACAGGAAACUGAUCUUUCCAGAUGUGCCGUCACUUUUCAGCUGUCCUUCAAAGGUUUUACAGCUGUUUAAAGGACGUUUUUCCAGUUUGAUUCAUACAAAAACUGAGAUUCAAUAUUCUGAAGUGAAUUUUCAUAGGAUCCUUUGUACUUUUGAAAUGAGGCACUAGAAGUGUUUGAGCCUUCGGAGACCUGCCUUAGAUAACUGACCUGGUAGAGAACACACAUCUCACUAAGAUCCAAAAAUGUAAAGAGCUUUAAGGACACGAGUCCCCAGUAGGUGGCGCUGUCAAAACAAGAGCAACAAGCAGAAUCAACAGGCCUUCAUUCAUGUAUGUACAAUUUAAACAGACAUUUCUUUGAAUUGAGGAUUAAGACUUUCACAGCAGUUUCUCUGAACAGAGGAUUUCAGCUUAAGAGUUAAACAAAUCAAUCUUCCUGAUGCAGUCGUGGCUCCUCCUCCUCUUCCUCAGGGCUCUGUGUCACUCUGCUCAUUGCUGCAUCAUUUAAGUCAUUGAAACAUUACAGGCAGAAAGUGUCAAAUCCCUAAAUUAAAACAAUAAAAUCAUUUCUAAUACUGUUCAACGUGGCAGUUUAAAGGAGCGGUCAGUCUGAGAUUCACACCGACAGCCAUCCUCUCUCAGGUCUCCACUGGAGGGCGGCGCAGAGACGCAGAUCAGCCUAUAGGUUGCUGAAGAGUUCGUUCCUCUUGCUCCAGUCCAUGGCCGGCGCCUUCUUGGCCGCCCUCUUCUUGUGAGCUCUCUCUUUGGCCUCGGCCAGCGACACGCCCAGACCCAGACCCAGGCCGUCUGCGGCAGGCGCCGGCUCGGCCCGCGGGGAUUCCUCCACCUGUAAAAACACACAGACGUGGUCAGGUGGGGGCCGCGAGGAGGCACCGAUCUUCCUCAGACUCUGGCACCUCUGCGGGGGGCGAGCUGGGCGCCGCUUGCUGCAGCGAGCUGCUGGAGGAGACGCUGGACGCUCUGGAGCUCACGGACUCUUUGGGCUUCAGCUCUGCUGCUGCCUGGAAAACAAAAACAUGAAUCAGGAUGUGGAAACGUCUUCAGGCUCGACUCUGUAACGCUUGUUCUAUCCUAGACACUUUAACGU
ensembl:lncRNA